ACCCAGUCAUUAGGGAGUCGGUGGAAGGAUGGUUGGUUUUUGACCACUACGACCUGGGUUAAAUUCCCACAUUGGGCA